GUUCAUUUUCCCUUCCCACUACAGGACACCUGAAGCGUGUAUUCAGCAGCGCUGAAGAUCCUGAGGUGCUUCUAGAGAAAGAGCAGGAGCACACUGCCUCAUCUGAGCUGCCAUGCCAGACUCAGGGAGAGCUGUUCCCAGCCCGAGAGCAGGAAGAGCAGCUCAGGCAGCAGGUGGAAGAGCCACAGGAGAAUGGCCAGAACAUCAAGGCAGAGCCACAAGCAGAGCUGCCCGAAGCUCAGAGUGACAACAUGGCAG